GACGAACGCUGGCGGCGUGCUUAACACAUGCAAGUCGAACGGAAAGGCCCUGCUCUUGUGGGGUGCUCGAGUGGCGAACGGGGGAGUAACACGUGAGUAACCUGCCCUUGACUUUGGGAUAACAUCAGGAAACUGGGGCUAAUACCGGAUAGGAGCUCCUGCUGCAUGGGGGGGGUUGGAAAGUUUCGGCGGUUGGGGCUGGUCUAGCGGCUUAUCAGCCUGUUGGUGGGGUAGGUGCUUACCAAGGCUAUGACGGGUAGCCGGCCUGGGAGGGUGGCCGGCCACAUUGGGACUGAGAUAGGGCCCAGACUCCUACGGGAGGCAGCAGUGGAGAGUAUUGCACAAUGGGCGGAAGCCUGAUGCAGCAACGCCGCGUGCGGGAUGACGGCCUUCGGGUUGUAAACCGCUUUCGCCUGUGACGAAGCGUGAGUGACGGUAAUGGGUAAAGAAGCACCGGCUAACUACGUG
rnacentral:rRNA from 1 species